UAAACUAAUAUUUUUUAUCCCUUUCAGGCAUGUGUUAAAUAUGUUUUACAUGCUUUAAAUAUGCUAUAGAGAAUAGAUUCACUUGCUGGCCUAGCGUGCUCACACAAAAACCAACAUCAACAAAAGCCUAUUAAUCAUGUAAAGCUACAUCAUAGAGUUUGAGCUCACAAAUAAAGACACUUGAAAUGACAAGAUCACCUGUUUCAAGAUGUUUGAUCGAUUAUAUCUUAGUUAUUCUCAACAACAAGCCACUACAUUCUCAUAAAAUUAAUUAACAGAGCAAUAUAAGCACCACGACCACCAAACUUAUUCAGCUCACACCUCCUCGGAUCCGCUACAAGCACUGUUCUUAACGAAUAAGUAUAUCCUUAAUCUCUUUGUCAUGUCUUGAUCCUGACGCCUAUCAUCGUGUUGUGCAUCGCUACCUCUCGCACUGUUAUGGUUGAGACGUAGACUUUGUGAUGUCUUUACCGUGACUACCAAUGCUCACAGGUCAUGUUACAUACAUAUACAUCAGAGCAAGCCGUUUGGAUCGAGAUGCAAUCACCUCCUGCACAAAAACAUAGAAAAAAUACAGCACUAACCAAAAUCGAACCAAAAUAUUUAAUUUCUAUAAUCUCAUAACCAAAAAGACCCCAAAAUCAAACUGACAUUGCGUUUCAUAAUCCCAAAAUCAAAUAAAAAAACUUCUCAAAACCCAUCUUAGUAUUCUCAAUAAACAAUUUUAACACAAAGCACAACUUUUUCUAAUCCAAAAUUGAUUCAAAUUUAACUUUCAACCGACAUUACCGAACCAAUUUAACAAACAACUUCAAGAUAUAUCUUAUAAACAACCAAACAUCAACAUUUAUCCAUGAACAAACAAGUUUCCCCAAUUUCUCAAGAAUCCACAUCAAAAACGACCAAACAAAUUCGAAAAUAAAUCUGGGUUUCAGGAAAAUAAAUUUGGGUUUCGGGAAAGAAGAAGAAGGAAGAUGUUGAUUUGAACAAGGCGGAGACACGAUUUUGCAUGCUUCAAUGGAGGUUGAAUAUGGAAGAGAAGAGAGGAAUUUCGAUCUCUGUUCGUUGUGUAGGUUUCGGCAGAGAGAAAGAGACUAAUUUUUAAGAGUC
rnacentral:lncRNA from 1 species